rnacentral:rRNA from 1 species
UACGUAGGGUGCAAGCGUUAUCCGGAAUUAUUGGGCGUAAAGAGCUCGUAGGCGGUUGUCGCGUCUGCUGUGAAAACUGGAGGCUCAACCUCCAGCCUGCAGUGGGUACGGGCAGACUAGAGUGCGGUAGGGGAGAUUGGAAUUCCUGGUGUAGCGGUGGAAUGCGCAGAUAUCAGGAGGAACACCGAUGGCGAAGGCAGAUCUCUGGGACCGUAACCUGACGCUGAGGAGCGAAAGGCAUGGGGAGCGAACAGG